rnacentral:misc_RNA from 1 species
AAGUCGUAACAAGGUUUCCGUAGGUGAACCUGCGGAAGGAUCAUUAUUGAAUAAUUAUGGUGGGUUGUCGCUGGCUUCUUGAAGCAAUGUGCACGCCUGCUGUCUUUAUCUAUCCCAUUGUGCACCAUGUGUAGUCUUGGUGGGGAGUGUAAGCUUUUGCUGCACCCCCUUCUGGGUCUAUGUCUUUUCCACAGACGUUGUAGUAUGUCAUAGAAUGUAAUCAAGGGCCCUUGUGCCUAUAGAACGCUAUACAACUUUCAGCAACGGAUCUCUUGGCUCUC